rnacentral:lncRNA from 1 species
GCCUUUCCUGAGGCACCAUGGGGCUGAUCUGGGGUAUCUGUCUGCUCCCCAAGCUCAGCAACUACCCAGAUGAUCAGGUACCUUGGAGCUGGAGUCUGGGAGAUGUGGCCUACCCAUGAAAGGCACAGCAUUGCAGUGUCCUGGGGUGGGAGUAAGGGAGUGGCAGAUAAGUGGCAUUUCCCAAACUCACCUGCUCAUGGGACCCCUUCCCUUAGCUCCUGCCAGUCUCAGCCCCUGUCUGUGACCAGUUCAGGGAGACCUCCAAGCCCUGAUCUGUUAGGUGGAUCCUUUCUAGGACUCUCUGAUGCCCCCAUCCAGAGUGGCCAGCCAGAGUCCCUACUGGGUCAGACUCCCUGCUCCUGUUGUGGCAGCCGGGCCUCUGUUGUUGGAGACAGGUGGAGGGAGGGGUGGAGCUGCCUGGCAGUUUCCCUGCAGGGACAAAUGGGAGGGGCAGUUGGCUAGUCCCAGUUAUGCAAGAGCCCGAGAAAGCUCUGGAACAUGGACCAAGUCCCCAGGCUGCUGACAACUUCCUGCCUUGGGCCUUCUCCCAAACCCGAACACAGGCCUUACCUUCCCACUUCUGCUAUGUGCCUGGGUGCCUCUCAGCCUCACCCAACCCUUUCCAACAGGCCCCAUCACAGCCAGAACCAGGCAGCCCCAGGCCACUGCCCCCAGGCAGGACCUUUGCAUUAGGGCUUUGGGGAAGGUGACCUGCUGGCUGAGUCACCCUCCUCCCACCCCUCCACAAAGGCAGGUUGGUUCAGACUCUGCUCCUGUGAGGCUACCCCCAGCAUGAGGAACUGGGGUGCAGUGGACAUGGGGUGCCACAGGGUCUACCUCAGACUCAGGACCUCUGUCCUCAGACACCAGCUGGCUCUGCCCUAUAGCCCCUGGGAAGCCUCUGGGCAGAGAGUACUCAGCUGGUACCUGUUGACCCCAAUCUGCAACCCACUCUGUGUUCCUCACCCAGCCAGCUGGCACCCCAGCUCCAGACACUGCCUG